GUUAUCCGGAAUCAUUGGGUUUAAAGGGUCCGUAGGCGGUUUAGUAAGUCAGUGGUGAAAGCCCAUCGCUCAACGGUGGAACGGCCAUUGAUACUGCUAAACUUGAAUUAUUAGGAAGUAACUAGAAUAUGUAGUGUAGCGGUGAAAUGCUUAGAGAUUACAUGGAAUACCAAUUGCGAAGGCAGGUUACUACUAAUGGAUUGACGCUGAUGGACGAAAGCGUGGGUAGCGAACAGGAUUAGAUACCCUGGUAGUCCACGCCGUAAACGAUGGAUACUAGCUGUUGGAAGCAAUUUCAGUGGCUAAGCGAAAGUGAUAAGUAUCCCACCUGGGGAGUACGUUCGCAAGAAUGAAACUCAAAGGAAUUGACGGGGGCCCGCACAAGCGGUGGAGCAUGUGGUUUAAUUCGAUGAUACGCGAGGAACCUUACCAAGGCUUAAAUGUAGAUUGACCGGUUUGGAAACAGACUUUUCGCAAGACAAUUUACAAGGUGCUGCAUGGUUGUCGUCAGCUCGUGCCGUGAGGUGUCAGGUUAAGUCCUAUAACGAGCGCAACCCCUAUUGUUAGUUGCCAGCGGGUCAUGCCGGGAACUCUAACAAGACUGCCGGUGCAAACCGUGAGGAAGGUGGGGAUGACGUCAAAUCAUCACGGCCCUUACGUCCUGGGCUACACACGUGCUACAAUGGACGGUACAGAGAGCAGCCACUGCGCAAGCAGGCGCGAAUCUUCAAAGCCGUUCUCAGUUCGGAUCGGAGUCUGCAACUCGACUCCGUGAAGCUGGAUUCGCUAGUAAUCGCAUA
rnacentral:rRNA from 1 species